AACGCGUGGAUAAUCUACCUAUUGGUACGGGACAACAGUUGGAAACGACUGCUAAUACCGUAUAAGCUGGAAACGGGAAAGGGGGCCUCUUCUUGAAAGCUCUCGCCAGUAGAUGAGUCCGCGUUUCAUUAGCUAGACGGUGGGGUAACGGCCUACCGUGGCAACGAUGAAUAGCAGGCCUGAGAGGGUGGCCUGCCACACUGGGACUGGAACACGGCCCAGACUCCUACGGGAGGCAGCAGUGGGGAAUAUUGCGCAAUGGACGAAAGUCUGACGCAGCGACGCCGCGUGGAGGAUGAAGGUUUUCGGAUCGUAAACUCCUGUCAAGAGGGAAGAAACCUAUUAAGAAUAAUACUCUUAGUAAUUGACGGUACCUCUAGAGGAAGCACCGGCUAAUUCAGUGCCAGCAGCCGCGGUAAUACUGAAGGUGCAAGCGUUAAUCGGAAUCACUGGGCGUAAAGCGCUCGUAGGUGGCUUUGUAAGUCAGAUGUGAAAGCCCACGGCUCAACCGUGGAAUUGCAUUUGAUACUGCAUCGCUAGAGUAUAGGA
rnacentral:rRNA from 1 species